GUGCUCACUUUGGCAGCACAUAUACUAAAAUUGUAACGAAACAGAUUAGCACAGCCCCUGCACAAGGAUGACACACAAAUUUCUGAAGUGUUCCAUAUUUUU
rnacentral:snRNA from 1 species